AAGAAAACGGUCAUCUGUUGGGGGGAAGACAGAAGCCUAGAAUGCUUUAGCCUGCCCCCCCCCCCUUCCAAAAAAAAGGGGGCGGGAUUCUAUUUGCAUAUAUAUCUAUAUUUUCUUAAUGGGAAAUGCAAAUGUGGUAUUUUGAGGGAAGUGUGUGUUAAAAAGAAUGAAUGUGACUCUAGGGGAUCCCUAUGCACCUCUGGAAAUUAAUCAUUCUGACACGUUAACGACUCCUCUAAUAAGACAGGGGCCCAGCAGCACUCACACAGGCCCUGCACACUCUUUGUUCGGCCCUCGGGUCCCAGGAGGAACGGACGGAGGGAGUGGGGGAGGAGGACAGAGGCGAAGGAGGUUGGGGGAUUCUCCCUCUCUAAAAUGAGGGACCUCUCAUUUUCUGGAGGGGGGAGAUGGACACAAACAUUACAUCCACAUGUGUCAAGGUUUAGGAGUCUUUAGCUACAGUUGGAGCAAGAACGACGUGACAAAUCCAUGGUAUGAUGACGGCACAAGAGUAUUACAGUUUCCUAGCAAAAUGACCCUUGAUUCGGUUACAUUUUAAAAAUGAAGCAAUUAGUACAUACUAGAUUUUAAUGUCCAAUCAAUUGGCCGGUAUAAUAAAUGUGCUACCAAUACACCAAUAGUCUUAGAAAAGCAUACUGAAAUCAAUAUCAUGUAAUCAUACCGCAACUUUCUAUUUCUGAUGACAUUAAAAGGCCAUACAGUGCUGUAGGUGCAUCUCAGAUUUAAAGAGUAACGUUGUACAAUGCAUUGAAACAAUGCAGGAAUGCAAAGAAAUUUGUUUUUCAAAUUUGCAAAAAAACACAAAACCAUGGCUAAUGUUUAUGCCAGAUUACGGAUUUUUGUUCCAAACAAGCUAAGAAAAUAGCUAGGCAAAAGCUAUUGGUGUGACUGCUACUUUAGCAUUGAGUUUAUUAGAGCAAUUAACAAAAGCUUGUAAAAGCUUAUGUAUUAGGUCUAUGUAGUGAUGCUCCACACUUCACUUACAUCAUUAUGCAUACCAUUACAUUAACGUUAGACCUAUUGCGUUCUACCAGUUUAUUAUCACACUCAAAUGCAACAUAAACAUACUGGGCCUCAUUUAUCAUGCUAAUUACGAAUUUAUGCGUAAAUUGUUCGCAGGAGCAUUUACACAAGAAAUCCAGUUAUUUUGUAAAAAUGAUUGUAUCAUACAAGAGCUCCUGAGUUUGUGUAAAUUUAUGUAUAAGAAGACAAUGCUUCAAUUCCCCUAUAAAAGGAGGAAGAGUGUAUCUAUAGUAGUUGAUGAGCUGCAGUGGCUGAGCUGCAUUACUGGAAGAUUUAGCACACACCAUGCUUUGUUACCAAUACAGGUUAGGAGGUGCUUUUUCCCUGUUUAGUCAACAUCUCUGUGAGCUUUUUGCCUUUUAUCUUUUAAGUGUUUUUGGCAUUCAUCAUCAUACAUACGUGAGUACGAAGAAAAUCAGCAAAACAUUUGCUGGUGAGAAUUUUUAGUUCAGUUUGGCCUACGAAAACCUUACAUACAACUCUAUUAAAUGAUUGAUAAAGGAGGCCAACUGUGAAGAUUCAGAAUGCAGUACGUGCAUGCACAUGGACACACUUAUCCACUUUAACAUGAGCUUAAACACAGUGGGGUCUCCACCAGACUCUGGAAAACAAGGACCAAGUUCUCACGUUAGCAUGGUGCUCGCACGUGUUCAGUACUUUAUUCAGUGAGAUUUUAUAGCUCCUACUUUUUCAUAAAAUAAUGCAGAAAAUGAGCCUCAUAAGAAUUUAUGAUUAAUCACAUCCUAACACUGUGUUCACACUGGCAGUGAUGUGAUGCAGUAUGACAUAUCAGGACAUUUUUGCUUUCAAUAAGACGUAACCAUUUUAAGAGAAAGGAGGCGUGGAGAUCACUGGCAAAACAAAUUGGCUGGGGUCAGAAGACAUGAUAAUGCCAAUUUAUACAUUUUCCUUCAUGUAUUUUCAUUCCUGAGCUGACUGGGGAAACUUCAUUUAAUUUAUACAUCAUGAAAAUACUUGCUGCACUUGAAUCUAAUCAAUAAAUCAGUACUAUAAAUAAUCGUUUUAGGUUUAGUGUCACACACAUAGAGAGCUAAAAUCUACUUUAAUGGAUGCCCAAAUGUCUGCAGUGGCGUGACCUGUAAAGUUAAAAAGGUAGUUAAAGAUGAAGAUGAAUUGUUGUGCUGUUGUUCUGAGGUGCAGGGUUCACUAAUCUCUAUCCUAAGGGCAUUUUUAACUCUUUGGUAGCCUAAACUUUAUGAAACAUGUUUCUGAUUAAAUGCUUUCAGGGGAAUUCAUUUGUGUGUGCAGAUUGGUCAAAGUGUAAAAGUAGUCACUGCAGAGGUUUUGUGUUCUUUUAAGAAACAUCUCACUGGAAAAGUUAGUAAAGAACAUGUGACAGGCAAGUGGUUAUAUUAAUAAAUGAGCAUUAUCAUGUUCCAUAUGCAAAUGCAUUGUGUUAUUACAAGGGGAAGGGAUGGGUUAGAUGUAAGUUUGGGGGCAAUUCAAAUUUGCAUAGUCAUAGAAUCUGGGUUUCUUGAUGAGUGGCUAAGUGGCAAAACUGUUAAGUAAUGUAUUAUUAAGCCUAUAUAAGCCUAUGAUUUUACAGAAGCAAUGAAAGUAUCAGGUAUUCAUAAUGACAUGGGCACUAUGAGUUAUAGAUCAAACAGUGUCUCUUCCCAUUUUGAAGCAUCCAAAAACUGAAAAUGUCAGUAGCUAUUGUUACCAAUACAUGUUAGUAACAUCUGAUUGAAUAUUCCUGUAGUACUCCAAAAAUGUUAGCGAGUUUUAAGAAUCUGCGAGGAUCUGAGGCUUCGUCACUUUUAUUUACUGUUAAUUAUUUGAUCAGUUUUCACUAAUCUGUGGCAUUUGUUUUGACCAGUGUUGUGGACUAAUUUAGCAGUAAUCUGGUCCAGUGUUCCUCGGAUAGGCUCCUGAGCCACCAUGACCCUGACCAGGAUAAAGUGGUUACUGAAGAUGAAUGAAUUAAUAAUUAGGUCAUCUUUUUCAUUUUUUUUUCAUGAAAAAAAUGAAAUGCCUAACACAGCAUGAGGUGAGGCAUGCUGACCUGACCUUUCUGAUCUCUCUCAUCUUCCUUUUUAUACAUUUUAAAAGACGUCCUAAUACAUUUACUCAUUUUUUUCCUGACAGAAUUCUGAACGGCUUCUCAGAGAGCUUCACUCAGUAUGAGCCGAAUAUCUCUGUUAUUAUUUCUUCUUGUUUGUUCAUGCUUCCUACUGUAUUUUCACUAUCUGCUAUGUUUCUUAAUAAGAUAUUUGUGUGCAAAUAAAUACACUGAAAUAACUCAAGAACAGCUCUGGGCAGUUGAAGGUUAAAGGCCUUGCUUAAGGGCCCAAUACUGGCAGUUAUGGGGUUUGAACUCACAACCUUCUUCUCAAUAGCACAGAAGCUGAGCACUGAAAUUCCAUUGCCCCUAAUAACUGCUAAAGCUUUAGAAGCAGCACACUCUUUUCUCAAUAUAUUCUCAAGCUGUUCAGUUGUUCUUAACAGCAGUGGCCUUGGACUUCAUCCAAAUGUGCUUUUGGCAACGGACAACUCGGCAUUGCUAAUGAACUCCAUGGCCAACAUUAAACGGAAAAGGAAGUGUGUGUUAGCGGCUCAUCCUCUUUGUGAGAAGCCACUCUCCGAACACUUAAGAUCCUUAUUAAAUUUUCAUACAUAUGAUGCUGAAGUCCUUUCCGGUUUGUCAAUGCCCUUAAUGGCCAGAAUGAUUCAGCUGUUCUUCUUGCGAUCGUGAAGCAACAAGCUUGUCGAUUAUUAUUGGUUUCCUCCCUCCAUCCCGCCCUCAUUUCGACAAAGUGCUUAAUUAGUGGAGAGCACCGAGUAAUUAUUUCCUUUAUUAGUGAACACAGACAUCUGUUUUGGCUCUUUAACUCGACCCUAUAAAAGCAGCCCCCGAUAAAAACGUCCAUGUUCUCAGUCCCUUUAGGACAGAACGCUUGUUGCUCCACGUGGCAUUACAGAGCUGAGCUGCUGCUUUCACACAUUCCAAUAGCUGUAACUAAAAUCCCCCCUACUCCAGCCAGAGUGUCCUAAUUGAGAUUUGUAAAGGUUUCAUCUUCAGAACAACCACAUCAGAAUCUACUAUCUUUAAACUGACAACCAUUCUUUCUUCAUAUCAUGAAAUUACAACCUCAGCUGCAGAGUUGACUUUUAUAAUUGCUUGUUUGCUACCAUGCAGAAAAAUGUGACAAACUCAGAUUAUAUAUUUCCUAGAAAAAUGUAGAUAACGAGACACCAUUAGCUCGUCUUGUCAUGCACAUACAUCCACUAGGAAAUUGGAGCUACGCUCUGCUACACUGUGUUACCAAUCAUCCGUGCACUAGGACAAAAAAAGACAGAAAGUCUAGUUACAAACCUAAUUGGUAACCUAUUUUUUUUUUAAUAUAUUUUUUUAACCAAAUAUAUCAACCAAAAGCAACUGAAACACUAUAUUAAAACUAAGAACAUAAGUAUAAAUCCCAGAUUCUAUGAAACAAUAUUAAAGACCAUAUUAAAGCUUCACUAUCACACCACAAUAAAAAUAAGAAAAAUGAAGAACAUGAAUUUACACAGAAAAAAAAUUAUUUAUGGGCUACAGUACAUGGUAAUGGUUUCAUUUAAAGCGACAAAAGAGAGAGAUAAUGCUCUCUAAGAUGUAACCAUAGCAACUACUGUAUAAUGAUAGCAUAUUGGUAUGUGGGCAGUAAGUUUGCUAUUUGCAUAUCAUUCAGUUAUGAGAAAUUGAACAUUGAACACUCAUUGAAACCUCACAGUAUCAAAAAACUUAAAUAAAUAACUCUCUUAACCUUAUGGUGUUCUUUACCUCCACCAUGUCUGUCAUAUGUUACAUGUUAUAUAUUAUAUUAGUAUUACGGUACAGAUUAUAAUGCUCAGCAUUGUAUAUUAUAUAAUGUAAAUAACAUGUUCCAUAUGCAAUGCAUCCCUUUAUAACAUGAAAUCUUUGGCGACUAAUAACCUAAUCCAGUCAAAAUGACUUAAACUAAACUCACAAUCAAUUAUACGAGCACUAUUUUUCUACCUACUUCGAUUUCAUCACACAGCUAUCAGGAUACAGUCUAUGUUCAUGUUCAUCUAUACAGCUUCAACAUAGUGUCGAAACUCCCCUGGAAAAAAGGGGUCGAAUCCAAAAUGGGUAUUUCCACACACUCAUACAGAAUGCCUUGCUGUCACUGUGUGUGAGGUGUUAGUGUCUAUGAGUUAUGUUUAAUUAUAUAUGUGCUUGAUGCAUUUUGAGUGAUGCCUGUUAGGGGUUAAAAACGACCUAGCGUGGGAAGAAGAGCGAGAGGGAGGAGAGAGCGAGAUUCCUGAGAGGCCUGGUGAAAUUUUGCCUCGGGUAUUAAUGGACUUUGGGCUCUUUGAAAGUUUAUUAGCCAUAAAAUUGACAGCGUGUUGUGCUAGCUCAACAGCCCCACUGUCCUCACUCUUUAUUCCUGCUCAAACAAAACAGGCAGAUGACACAAAAGGCUCCGCACACGUUUGCUCGACAACUCCCCCCCCUUCCUUUUCCUAUGGACGGGAAUCAUUGAAAACGAUCUCAGACGCAGGUGUUACCAUCCGGCGCGUAUAUAUAACUGAGCAGAGAGGCUGCAGUACUUUUUAAGAAUCAACACUUCCACAAAGAUGCAUGUUGGUCACAACUUUAUUGGAGAUGGAAACCUACGAACUAUGGAGACUGCACAGAUGACCGUAAUUUCGGAGUCAGACCCUGAAGCACUGGAGCCGCCUAUGCUGAGAUAAGUAACUAGUUAAGUAACUAUGUAGCUGAAAAUGUGGUAUCAUGAAAAAACAUUGAUAAAACUCAGCAAAAUACAGAGUGCAUGUUGAAAAAAAGAGAAGACUCAAGGUCGUAAACAAAAAAGAUUUUGAGUCAAGAUCAAGACCUCACCCUUUCCCUGGCAAUUUGAGUACUCGAACUGUUGAAAUAACACUUUUUUGGCACUUUGUUGGCAAAACAAACUAAAUAAUGUGAGCAUAUUGAGUAUUGUGAUUGCAUUGUGCGAUCUAUGCCAUAUCAUCUACUCCAAAUAAUCAUCUCUUCUAAUAUAUGUUCACUAAUGUGCAGGAAACAUAGUGACAGUAUGCAAAUGUAUCCAUGCAACGAGUUAUCCAUGCAUAAUCUGUGUACAUGUGUGUGUAUAUGUGUUAUACGACUAGGGAACAUAAACCAGCUGAACCCCCUAUAAAUAACUCGAUCCAUUUUUGAGUGUUAAUGCCUCCGAGAAGAAAAUCUCUUGCGAGGACGGAUCAGCAUUUGAAGUUCUUCUCGCUUUAUCUGCAAAACAGAGAGGCGUUUCGGUCGUCCUGUGGGAUGCGCUCAUGACGCCACAGGCGAGAGCGAUGCGCUCUUUUGUGCAGCACGUGGAAAUAAAGGGGGAAUGACAGAGCGAGAAGGAGAGGUAGGAGAGGAGAAGAGAUGGAGGAAUGGAGAGGAGAUAAAAGAAUGAAAGAGCGGGGAGAGAGAACGGAACAUGUUGAGUGACGAUAUAAAAGAGCAGGCAGGUGGCAGGAACGAUAGAGGAUGUAUGCGCGUGCAAGUGGUGCGAACGCAUGGCACAAGUGGAUAGAAAUGUUUUAAAAUGAUAGGAAGAGCAGAAGUUAAUUACAUAAUCAUAUGAGCAUAUGUUGGCAUCAAGCCCAAAACACAAAUGUGCAAACUAUCAUAACUGCUGAAGUUGCAAACCUCUCUUUCACAAAAAAAAACAGAAAGAACUUCAAACACUACUUUGGCUACUUUGUGCAGAUUUCCUGCUCGUGGCCAUGACGCAUUUAUUUAUACAGAGUUCACUGGGUUUAUGUUUAACACGAGCACAUAUUAUGCAGUUAUUGAUGAGCAACUCAUACAGAGAAGCAAGGUAUAUGUUAUAAUCAUAACAAAUAGUAAUAUGCCCAUUAGUUUGGCUCUUGAAAUAGGCCUGCUACUUCAUUGUUUUGUGGAUUUUCUCCCAUUUUCUCUCCAGUUUUUCUCCACCUGCCAAUUUCCAUCCCCUAGCGAACUCUCCCCUAUCAUACGAUAGCUACUAGCCGGGGAAAUGAAGGCUAAUACGUGCUUCCUCCUUGAUAAAUGAAGCCAGCCAACUGCAUCUUUUCAAACUGCUGCUAAUGCUGCAUCACAGGGCAGCGUAACACACUUAGAGGAAAGCGCUAUCUGCCCUUAUCUGCAUACAAGAACACACAGAUGGAUACUAGUGUCGCUGUGAUUGACAGGGGAGAGAGAGUAAUGCCAUUGCUCCCACACAGACAGCAUGGCCAAUUUUGCUCCUGAUCAUAGGGCAAACGCUUUUCUGUUGUGCCACUAGGGAGCCAGACACAUGAUACUGAUAUUUGAUAUUUUAUGAUAUCUGAUACUUUAAUGUGACUUAUAUCACAGAGCUGUUGAUUUCUCAAAUAUGACUGGUCAGAAGGUGUUGAUUAAUUUUCUAUAACAGCAGAUAUAAACAGCUAAUUCACAUAAUCUGAGUCUAAUAAUAAACAAAUUAUUAGACAUAUAUUAUACAGAUUGUAGUGAUUUAAUAAAAAAAAAUGUAUAAUUGUUUUUAUAGGGAAGUUUAACAUUAAAGGUGAAUUUAAAUGGAUAAAAGUAUGCGUCGUUCUUUAAUAAAUGAAAAACGUGUAAUCUUUGGCAGAUUGCUGUAGUAUAAGAGUAAUAAAACACUUCGGGGUGUGUUGUUCUAAGAAAAUGUUCAACUUUGGGGUGUUAUCAAUAACUGUGCCUUGCAUCAGAUUAUUUGUACAGCACACCCUAUCAUGUUUUAUUCUUCACUUCAUUCACACCACAAUCCAUCGUAUGUUUUUUUUCUUAAGACAAGAACAGCUUAGUGGGGUGAGGCUUAUACGAAUUUGUAAUUCAAAAACAUGUUCCCUCUUACGCAGCUCUUAAGAAAACACUCCUGAUUAAAUCAUGUUUGGGGCUAUGUGGGUUUCUCAUGGGGAACAUUUUCAGUGUUGCAUAAAAAAUAUGCAUAAGUACAACUACAUCCUUUGCAAUUAAUCAUAUAUAGCUUACUGAGGUGCAAAGCUACACUAUACAGCCAAAGGUUUAUGGACCCCUGACCAUCACACCCAUAUGUGGUUCUUCCCCAAACUAUUCCCACAAAGUUGAAAGCACACACUUGUAUAGAAUGUCUCUGUAUACUGUAGCUUUACAAAUUCCCGUCAUUGGAACUAAGAGGCUCAAUCCUGUUCCAGAAUGAGAAUGUCCCUGUGCACAAAUCGAGGUCCAUAAAGAUAUGGUUUGCCAAAGUUGGAGUGGAAGAUCUCAAGUGUCCUGCACAGAGCCCUGACUUCAACCCCACUGAACACCUUUGGGAUUAACUGGAACGCGGACUGAACCCCAGGUCUCCUCAUCCGACAUCAGCGCCUGACCUCACUAAUGCUCUUGUAGCUGAAUGAUCACAAAUCCCCAUAGUCACACUCCAAAAUCUAGUGGAAAGCCUUCCCAGAAUAGUGGAGCUUAUUUUAACAUCAAGUUGGACUAAAUCUGGAAUGGGAAUGUUCAAAAAAAUACAUAUUGGUGUGAUGGUCAGGUGUCCACAAACUUUUGGCCAUAUAGUGUUUCAACCACGUAACCACAACAUGCCCUUAAUUAAUACAUUAACUCUCUGUAAACUUCCACAAUGUUCCCAGGCAUCAGACUCAGGUAGAAGGCAGGGUCCAAAGUUUAAAUAAUGAUAACAAAUAAUUAAGUAAUAAAUAAUAAUAGAACCUCAUGGAAAUUUUUAUGAAUUACUGAGCUGAAAUAGUUCCAGGAAUAUGUUUGAGGAACAUACACACCCACUGUCAUUGCUAAAGUAUGAUCAUAAACAUUGGUAAAAGUCAUGAUAACACUAUGCACCCUGGUGUUUUUCUUCUUAAUGCAGAGUAUAAGCUAGCUAAUGAUUAAUGAUUAGGGCUAAUAAUAUGGCUAGCUACCAGGUCAAGCUUUUACACAGAUGAUGUAAAAGUAUACUGACAGUGAAAACAAGGCAGAACUGUUGGAAAUAUCAACAGUUCCCUCUGAUUUUGUUGUAAACUUACUGAGCUGCAAUAGAUUCCACCAUACAUCAACAGUGCGUCCCAACUCAUGAACGUAUCAGAAGCGCUGAAUUAACCGUAGCAUCUUGCUUCUCGAUGUGAAUGUAAACGAAGCAUCCUAACACAACUUUUAUCCAUAACGUCUUCAGUAGAAUGACGUUCUGACAGCCACAAUAACUUUUCAACCAACAUAGUUUUGUUUACAAUAUAAUAAACUAUAGCUUAUAUCCUCCAUUUACUGGCUCUGUGUUUGGUUUUAAUCAACUGAAUAAUAUGUUGUAGUAUUAUUGAUAGUAUAUAUGAAGCAAAUUUUUCAUAGUUUAGAGUUUGAGAUGUGAGGCAAUGUUGAUGUUUCUCAGUGUCAUGAAAGUUUGCUUUGAGGUUGAUGCUAAGUGUAACUAUAGCGUUUCUUCACUUAUGUGGAAAAUGUUCUCAAUAGUUGUGUCUCAUUUAUACUUUCACUCCAUUUAUACUAUCUGUAUAAAAAAAUUCAUUACAACAUGCUAGUAAGCUAAAACAUAAGCCUAUUUCAUAUAUUAUCUUAUCAUAUUUCCCCGUUGCCUAGCAACAAUGUUCUCACAACAUGUAAUUUUUUCUUUCUUGCUUAUGUCUCUUGCUGUAUCUCUCUGUUUCUUUCUGCGUUCUUUUUGUAUUUGGUAGUUUCAAAUGUUCAGCUUUUGAAAAUAUUUUUCUUUUUUUUUUAAAACUGUGAUCUUUCUUUAAUCACUUUCACCUUGCAAGCACCAUAGUUUCUCUAGUUAGCCUAUAAAAAUGUUAUCAGUGUAGGCAUUCUGUACAUUCCGUAUCCAUCAGCUCAUGCUCAGGGCGUUAUAUAUAGCUUUAUAUGCAGUAUACUUUCUUUCUGGCAUGUGCACUACUUUGCGUAGGAAACAUGAAGUUUACAAGGUGGUAAAGCAUUACUGAUACCAUAUGUGCUCGUUUUUUUUCUUUAACAUGUGCAUCAUUAGUAGGCGCACAGCAAAAUUCCCCAGUGUUGAAUUAACACCUACAGGGUUUAUAUAAGUCCAGCUGGACACAAACGAACACUGUGAAAGUGACUCUGUGGAUAUAAUGGAACUUUAAAACCCGGUAAAGUCUAUUUAAGAAAUUUAAGACGCUACUUUGCAGCUGUUAAAAAAAAUGAUGGUUUAUGUGAAAUCACAAGCUGCGUUUAAACUGCUGUUCAUUAUUCUGAGACGUGAACUGAGUGACAAUCGAGUGAGAGUUUAGUGAGGGGGGACACACAAACCCCAGCUUUGUUCACAUCUCGUCCUCCCCAAAAAAGAAAGAAAGAAAGAAAAAAAAAAACGGGAUUAUUUGCUCGGCUUUUCGUCCGCCUUGUGCAGAAUACAUUACGUGUGUAAAUGUUGUUGAACCCCCGGCGUUUCUUGGCGGAAAGGUCACACACUCCCCCUCGACCCUGAUUCUGUUCCCUCAGGGCUGUGUGUGUGUGUGUGUGUGAGUGUAUGUGUGUGUGUGUGUGUGUGUGUGUGUGUGUGUGUGUCCACACCCCCUUCUCCCCAAGCUGCGCCUAUAAAGUUCGCAUUUAAAAGGCGAGUGCGCUGCUGAGGGCCGAACAAUAGCAUCUUUCUGGACACACUUUUUCUCACUGCCUGGGUUGCCAGAUUGCCACUCAAUUGCAACAUAUUUUAACACAAUGGUUGGGAAAGCAUAUCCUUGAGCUGAAAGAUAUGAUGUAUUAGUUAGUGUUCAGGUGGUUUAUGAUAAGUUGUAGCUGUUCAGUUUGCUUCUACUCUACGGACUGCAAGGUUGAGAGUUCAAAUCUCAAGACUACUAGAAAUUUAGGCCCUUUAGGAUCAACUUUUUUAGUUUGAAAUGGACAGUAACAUGGUUAGGGAGCUACAAAAAAAAAAAAAAGAUUUUGUCAAACAAGUAAAUGUAAAUCAAGAACAGAUUCAAAUCAUAAUUGAGAGAACUUGGCAGCUCUGCAAUGUCAGUUUAGAAGUCCAUUUAGAAACCCAGCUCUAUGACUUUGCUGUUAUAAUUUUUCUGGCAUCGAUUAAGCUAUCUGUUGAAAUAUCUAAUAUUUGAUUUUGACUGUCCUAAACAAACAAAAAAUGCACAAGAGAAUUAUUCAAAACAGAACGUACUUUUGAUAUCAUAUUUGACGAGUAGCCAAGGCUGCAAGCAGACCGGGUUUACUUUGUGUGCAUCUGCCUGUCAGGUUUUUAAUUACAUUAUCAUUAUUGAUUUAUCACACACCCCCACCGGAAAAAAAAAAAAAAAAAAACAUUCACGAGCUGUGACUGCAAACAUAAACUUUUAGGGAUACGGCAACCGAGCAUAUUAUUGCAGUUUGUAGUGAAUUAUUGAAAGCCACCAAUAUGGCCAACCUAAAGGACAUCACGCAGAGCCCUAGGCCUGCCAUAUGUUCGCUCAUAAGUAUGCGAUUAAAAACACAGCUGAGAGAGUUCAGUAGUAAACUGACCUUUCUGUGCAAGUAAUGGAUGCGAACAAAAAACUCAGUGCUCAUCCCGUUUUAUAUAUAAGAGCCUCUAAUAAUAAUCUCAUUGUCAGGUUUUCUAAAUUCAUCAAGUUCAGAUUCAACACUUUACCUACUUCAUGAUGUUCAGUUCUCAUCUCUUAAAGAGGAAAGUGCAAUUCUUGCCUACAGGGAACAUUAAAAAAAAUGAAGUUGCUCCUAAGGCAUGAGGAGUUUCCUAUACCUUUUCAACACUCAUAGAUCCUGUCAGUAUAAAUAAUGAUAAAGUCCCAAUUGUCUAAUGGAUUCAAACUGUUCUCAGCCUGAUCCCUAAGAAUGACCCCUUUAAGUUCUUCAAUAUUUGUAACCCUCUCUUUAAACCUCUUAGCCAUUACAAGGCUUUAAUAUCAGGCCUGACCAUAGUGUUACCAUGCAUAGUGUAGGCAAACAUUUCAAGUUUGUGCGUUAUUCUAUGAAAUGUUAAUAUCUAUAAAAAUGAUUGACUAAUAAAGAAAAUGAAUUGUAUGUUGUAUUAUGUGAUAUACUGUAUUUUAUGAGCAUUGUAUCAUAUCAUAUAAUAUCAUUCAGUGGUUCCUGGUUUUCAGCAUCAAGGAUGGAAGGAAGGAAGGUUCACAUGUAGCUUAUGCUGUCAGUAGAGAAACCUAUUUAGAAAGCUGCUACCUAGCAAAGGCUGGGAUAAAGGCUGUGUCUCAUUGGCCAAAUAUGGCUAAAUAGAGCAUCAUGUUUAUCCUUUUUUUAAUCUCAGUUCUGUUCACCCACUUAAAGGUCUGUUUAAGUUUGUAAAAAGGUGCGAUUGCUUUCUUUGGAAAGGAUACUUAUGGAAAAAUAAGGAACUUUUGAACUUUCUGAAUUAUCUGAGAUUGUGAAAACACUGACAAGAAAUG